AAGCGGUGGAGCAUGUGGUUAAUUCGACGCAACGCGAAGAACCUUACCAGGCUUGACAUCCCCUGACCGCGUAUGAAAGUACGUUUUCAUCUCGGGUGACAGGGAGACGAGGUGGUGCAUGGUUGUCGUCAGCUCGUGUCGUGAGAUGUUGGGUUAAGUCCCGCAACGAGCGCAACCCCUACGUUUAGUUGCUAACGCGUGAAGGCGAGCACUCUAGACGAACUGCCGUUGACAAAACGGAGGAAGGUGGGAUGACGUCAAAUCAUCAUGCCCCUUAUGUUCUGGGCUACACACGUGCUACAAUGGCCGGUACAGACGGACGCAAAGCCGCGAGGCGGAGCAAAUCCGAAAAAAGCCGGUCUCAGUUCGGAUUGCAGGCUGCAAUUCGCCUGCAUGAAGUCGGAAUCGCUAGUAAUCGCAGGUCAGCAUACUGCGGUCGAAUACGUUCCCGGGCCUU
rnacentral:rRNA from 1 species